GGCCGAGUUCCAGAAAAGCGAGAGGCGCUGCUCUGAGGAAAAGCCGAAGGGCUCUGUGCCCCCGGGGCCUCUGGUGCUCGCUCUGCCAGGUGCAGGCUAGUUACAGAUGGCAAAAGCCGUUAGGCCCUGCAGAAGGCAACUAAGAACCGCGUGGGAGGAAAUGAAAGCCGGCGCCAGAUGCUGGCCACCCCUUCACUUGCUGGUGACUCUGUCCUCUGAAGAUCCUCAUUCCCCCAGCUCUGGAACCUCCUGUGGACCUUCCUGUCACGUUCUCCCUCCAGCCUCUCUGGCACCUCUCUCAGCACUCCAGCUCUGAUCACCCAACCUCCUGCCUUUGAAUACAGACUAUCAC